CUCUGUCCUGUAAUGAAAUUUAACAAUGAAAAUGACCAAAAAAAUAAGUACCUGAAUAACACACAUGCCUGGAGAGAGUAUGGAGACGCUGCAUAUAUUUAUUUUAAUACAAUGUUUAAGCAGUGAUUUAUUUUCUUUCCCCAGAACCCGACCUUUCUCCAGAACCUGAACCAGAACCUUUCUUUCUCCAGAACCUGAUCUUUCUCCAGAACCUGAACCAGAACCUUUCUUUCUCCAGAACCUGAACCUUUCUUUCCCCAGAACCUGAACCUUUCUUUCUCCAGAAGGCUUUCAGCGCUCUGCUCAUUCUCGCAGUAUAAUUAUGGAGUUGACUGUAUGAAGAUUAAACAACGUGUCUACAUUAAAUAUGUGUCUGAAUGGAGAGAUCCUGGACUACACCGAGUUCUCCUCAUCUCAUUCUCUGUACUCGACUCUCUGACCAUCUGCUACUCCUGUCUCCACAUGACACGUUUCUAUUAAUGGCCUUCAGGAACAGAGGAACAGAAUUCCAGAGGCUUCUCGAUAACACGGGAACACUGGCUGUACAGCGGGGGAGAAAA